rnacentral:rRNA from 1 species
CCUGGCUUAGAACGAACGGCUGGCGGCGUGCUUAACACAUGCAAGUCGAACGCGAAAGGGACUCGGUCCUGAGUAAAGUGGCGCACGGGUGAGUAACGCGUAGAUAACCUGUCUUCGAAUGUCUGGAAUAAUACGGCCGAAAGGGGUACUAAUACCGGAUAUUCUUGCUUUUCAUAAGUUAUGCAAGCAAAGGUGGCCUCUGCAUAUGCUACUGCAUGAAGAGGGGUCUGCGUACCAUUAGCUAGUAGGUGGGGUAAUGGCCUACCUAGGCGACGAUGGUUAGCGGGUCUGAGAGGAUGACCCGCCACACUGGCACUGGAACACGGGCCAGACUCCUACGGGAGGCAGCAGUGAGGAAUAUUGCGCAAUGGGGGAAACCCUGACGCAGCGACGCCGCGUGAGUGAGGAAAAGGCCUUCGGGUCGUAAAGCUCUGUCAAGAGGAAAGAAGUGUACAAUGGCUAAUACCUGUUGUAUUUGACGGUACCUCUAAAGGAAGCACCGGCUAACUCCGUGCCAGCAGCUGC